rnacentral:rRNA from 1 species
ACUGCUCAGUAACACGUGGAUAACAUGCCCUAAGGUGGGGGAUAAUCUCGGGAAACUGAGGAUAAUACCCCAUAGAUCUAGAGCGCUGGAAUGCCUUUAGGUCGAAAACUCCGGUGCCUUAGGAUUGGUCUGCGGUCUAUCAGGCAGUAGUGGGUGUAAUGGACCCACUAGCCCGUGACGGAUAUGGGCCUUGAGAGAGGGUGCCCAGAGAUGGACUCUGAGACAUGAGUCCAGGCCCUACGGGGCGCAGCAGUCGCGAAAACUUCGCAAUGGGGGAAACCCCGACGAGGGAAUUCCAAGUGCUAGCACUUUGUGUUAGCUGUUCUUCUGUCUAAAAAACAGGAGAAGUAAGGGGCGGGUAAGACGGGUGCCAGCCGCCGCGGUAAUACCCGCGCCCCGAGUGGUGGUCGAUAUUAUUGAGCCUAAAACGUUCGUAGCCGGUCUUCUAAGUCCUUGGGUAAAUCGGGCAGCUUAACUGUCCGAAUUCCGGGGAGACUGGGAGACUUGGGACCGGGAGAGGUCAGAGGUACUUCUGGGGUAGGGGUAAAAUCCUGUAAUCCUGGAAGGACCACCGGUGGCGAAGGCGUCUGACUAGAACGGAUCCGACGGUGAGGAACGAAGCCCUGGGGCGCAAACGGGAUUAGAUACUCCGGUAGUCCAGGGUGUAAACGCUGCGGGCUUGAUGUUGGGGGUCCUUAGUGGGCGCCCAGUGCCGGAGAGAAGUUGUUAAGCCUGCUGCUUGGGGAGUAUGUCCGCAAGGAUGAAACUUACAGGAAUUGGCGGGGGAGCAC